rnacentral:miRNA from 1 species
GCAGACACAUUCCAGCAAAUCAGCAGCAGACCCUCCCUCCCAGACCCUCCCACCUCCUGGACAGCAUCCAUUGUGAAGCUGCAUUCUUAGUGAGCUGUCCAGGAGGUGGGAGGGUCUGGGAAGGAGGGUUUGCUGCUGGUUGGCUGGAAUGUGUCUG